GACCGGGUGGGCGCGUGCGCAGUGCGCCCCGGCUCCUGUGCGUCCCGCGUGUUGUCGCCUUCUCUCCGGUCGUGGCGUGGGGUUUCGGAGUCGUCCCCAUCCCAGCUUCAGGACUAGGGGUUGACCUCAAGACCUGGUACACGGUAUACGGGAGCUCUCCUGCCAGGCUACGCUUCCACCCUGAGUUUACGCCUCUCCUGGCCUAGGAAGCCCUCACCAGGAGGAGCCCGAAGGAACGCCCGCCCCGCUACUUGAUCAAAGGCAGAGUGUGCCUGAAGUCAUUUUGCAAAACAACCAACCAAAAGGCCUUUGACGUCGGAGAGGAUGUAUGUGGGGCAGAAGAACUAACUACGAGAAUCCUGUGCUCACAACAUCUGCAGCUACAACUCGGAGACAUCAUACAGGCAUUUACUGGGUGUGAGCAAUCAGCAUGUUACAGGUCUGACUAGUUUGCAGCUCCAGUGGGCUGCCUGAGGGUUCGGAAGACAGGUUUCACAAAGAAAAAUCACUGUCACCUCAGCUUCAGACAACCACUAAAUUCUGCCUACGAAUCUUGUAGGAGGCGCUUCAUAUCCAUGGAGCAAAUGUGAGCAUAAAGAAAUGGUGUUGGGACAAACAGCCAUCUGUAAGUAAAGUUGGAAGUAUACCUCAUACUGUACCAAAACGAAUUUCUGAUAGAGAAAACAUAAAUGUUAAAAACUUUGAUCAGAAAAUAUAUAUAGCCCAGGGGUGAUGGUGCAUGCCCAUAAUCCCAAGCACUCUGGGAAACUGAGGCAUGAGAUCCCAAGUUUGAGCCCAGCCUGCACAAUUUGGUGAUUGUCACUCAUUCUACCACUAAGCUACACCCACCAUCCUCUGUGUGUGUGUGUGUGUGUGCGCGCGCGCGUGCGCGAGCGAGCGUGUGUGUGUGUGUGUGUGUGUGUGUGUGUGGUCUUGUUGUUGUUUUUAUUUUCUAGUACUGGUGUUGCAUCCAGGUUGAGCAGCCCACCAGGAUCAGAAACUCAGCAGCAAUAACAAAUUAAAGGGAUGGAGUUUAAGAAGGGAAGCCGAUUUAUUUGUAAGGAGGAAAAAAUAGAAGACACAAAGCUGCCAGGAUAGAGAGCAGGGGCUGCAGAUGAUAUGUGUGUGUCGUCGUGUGUGUCGGGGGGGGGGGGGGUCCGCCCCCGCCCCAGCCCUGGUCCCAGGCUCCUUUUGUUAGGUCUGGGGACCCUUCCUUUCGGGUGGGUGGUAACCUGAUCAGUCUCUGGGCGGUCUUUGGGUGGACUCCAGGUCCCCAGAUCCUAACCUGGGUACUUUUGCCUGUGUGCACAAUCCUUUCGGUGGGCUUUCUUUCACUUCUUGCCCUGUUGUGAUCUGCAAGUUGUUGGGAAGGGAUCCUUUUAAGGUUAGUGACUAAGUAAAGGCGUGUGUGUAUAUCUAGUGCAGUAAUAUUGUGCCUCUACAGUGUUUUUAAAUACUAAAUAAAUUUUCUUGUAAAUUAGGUAGCCA